rnacentral:rRNA from 1 species
GAUGAACGCUGGCGGCGUGCCUAAUACAUGCAAGUCGAGCGAACAGACGAGGAGCUUGCUCCUCUGACGUUAGCGGCGGACGGGUGAGUAACACGUGGAUAACCUACCUAUAAGACUGGGAUAACUUCGGGAAACCGGAGCUAAUACCGGAUAAUAUAUUGAACCGCAUGGUUCAAUAGUGAAAGACGGUUUUGCUGUCACUUAUAGAUGGAUCCGCGCCGCAUUAGCUAGUUGGUAAGGUAACGGCUUACCAAGGCAACGAUGCGUAGCCGACCUGAGAGGGUGAUCGGCCACACUGGAACUUGACCACGGUCCAGACUCCUACGGGAGGCAGCAGUAGGGAAUCUUCCGCAAUGGGCGAAAGCCUGACGGAGCAACGCCGCGUGAGUGAUGAAGGUCUUCGGAUCGUAAAACUCUGUUAUUAGGGAAGAACAAAUGUGUAAGUAACUAUGCACGUCUUGACGGUACCUAAUCAGAAAGCCACGGCUAACUACGUG